rnacentral:misc_RNA from 1 species
UGGCUCUCGCAACGAUGAAGAACGCAGCGAAAUGCGAUAUGUAAUGUGAAUUACAGAAUUCCGUGAAUCAUCGAAUCUUUGAACGCACAUUGCGCUCUGUUUCGGCAGAGCAUGCCUGUUUGAGAAUCUAUAGUAUUUAUUCACCUAUUCUUACAUUUUCUGUAGGCAAUAGGGGAGAUUUGGGUGAACUGGUUAGCCAGUCACCUUAAAGCUAUGGCAGUGUUCGUCUAUGGGAUGUUUGAGUCUCUAUCGAGCCAGUAUGUGAAUGGUGUAUGCCUUGCUAAUACUGUGCCAUAGGUAUGAGAUGAGUCUCUAUGGGCGGGUGCUCUCACCUAUGAGUGGGGAAACCCACGAACCAUGGUCUCAAAUCAGGCAGGAAGACCCGCUGA